UGGGGAAUAUUGCACAAUGGGCGCAAGCCUGAUGCAGCCAUGCCGCGUGUAUGAAGAAGGCCUUCGGGUUGUAAAGUACUUUCAGCGGGGAGGAAGGGAGUAAAGUUAAUACCUUUGCUCAUUGACGUUACCCGCAGAAGAAGCACCGGCUAACUCCGUGCCAGCAGUCGCGGUAAUACGGAGGGUGCAAGCGUUAAUCGGAAUUACUGGGCGUAAAGCGCACGCAGGCGGUUUGUUAAGUCAGAUGUGAAAUCCCCGGGCUCAACCUGGGGACUGCAUCUGAUACUGGCAAGCUUGAGUCUCGUAGAGGGGGGUAGAAUUCCAGGUGUAGCGGUGAAAUGCGUAGAGAUCUGGAGGGAUACCGGUGGCGAAGGCGGCCCCCUGGACGAAGACUGACGCUCAGGUGCGAAAGCGUGGGGAGCAAACAGG
rnacentral:rRNA from 1 species